CAACCGCUGCUUGUAAACAAGCUGACCUGGCAUGCCCAGCUGGAAGAAACAGAAGUGGGAGGGACUCCCUGGGUUCAUGGGCCCCGUGGGUUCCCUGGGCCUCUGCCCUCUCCUGCACCACCCCCCUCACCAGCAGCCCACUAAAAACAAGAGAGAGAAUCCUACAGGAAACACUGCAAAGAAUAAGUAAUUCAGGCGCGUGGCCUAACAGGCGAGGGAGCCUCAGCAGCCUCAGGUGCUGGAGAGGAAGCAGUGAAGAAAAUGAACAAGAUCCCUGCCCUUCUGGAGUGGACAUUCUACUGGGGGAAACAGGUAAGAUACAUAAGAUAUCAGUCAAUUAUACACUCUGCUAGAAGAAAAAGUAGAGCAGGAAGCCUGGGUGGUCAGGACGAGGCUCACUGAACAGGUGACACUGGAGUAAAAGAUUCAGGUUCAAGAAGUGUGGUAGACGUAUCUCAGCCCCAAAGAUGUCCACCUCCUAGUCCUGAAACCCAUAGAUGGCAAUGUCAACAGACCUCAUGUGGCAAAAGAGACUGUGCAGGUGCAAUUUUGUUAAGGAUCUUGAGAUGGAGAGACAAUUCUGGGUUACCUGGGGAUGGGGGGCAGCAAUGUAAUGACAAGGUUACAAUGUGUAGAUUUGAUACACUUGUAUAUUGCAAAACGAUCACUGCCAUAGCCUUAGCUGGCUCCUCCAUCACAUCUCAUAAUUAUGAUUUCUUUUUCCUGGUGAGAUAAUUUAAGACCUACUGUCUUAGCAACUCCAAGUAUAAAACAGACUCUUUUUAACUAUAAUCACCAUGCUAUACGUUAGAUUCCCAGCACUUAUUUGUCUUAUAACUGGGAGUUUGUGCCCUCUGGCCAACAUCUCCCCAAUUCCCCUAACCGCCUAGCCCCUGAUAACCACCAUUCUACCCUGAUUCGUAGAAUUCAUUGUGUUUGGCUUUUUAUGAUUCCACGUAUAAGUGAGAUCAUGCAGUAUUUGUCUCUGUCUGACUUAUUAUACUUGAGUAUAAUGCCCUCAAGGUCCAUUCAUGUGGUCACAAAUGACAGGAUUUCUUUCUUUCUCAUGUCUGAAUAAUAUUCCAUGGUAUAUAUACACCACAUCUUCUCUAGCCACUCACCCAUUGAGGAACAGUUAGGUUGUUUCCAUAUCCUGGCUUUUGUGAAUCAUGUAUCUCCCGUGUUUUAAGCACAGCAUCUAGACACAGGAACUG